AUUGAACGCUAGCGGGAUGCUUUACACAUGCCAGUCGAACGGCAGCGCGGACUUCGGUCUGGCGGCGAGUGGCGAACGGGUGAGUAAUCUAUCGGAACGUGCCCAGUAGCGGGGGAUAACUACGCGAAAGCGUAGCUAAUACCGCAUACGCCCUACGGGGGAAAGCAGGGGAUCGUAAGACCUUGCACUAUUGGAGCGGCCGAUAUCGGACUAGCUAGUUGGUGAGGUAACGGCUCACCAAGGCGACGAUCCGUAGCUGGUUUGAGAGGACGACCAGCCACACUGGGACUGAGACACGGCCCAGACUCCUACGGGAGGCAGCAGUGGGGAAUUUUGGACAAUGGGGGCAACCCUGAUCCAGCCAUCCCGCGUGUGCGAUGAAGGCCUUCGGGUUGUAAAGCACUUUUGGCAGGAAAGAAACGUCGCGGGCUAAUACCCCGUGGAACUGACGGUACCUGCAGAAUAAGCACCGGCUAACUACGUG
rnacentral:rRNA from 1 species